rnacentral:rRNA from 1 species
UACAGAGGUCUCAAGCGUUGUUCGGAAUCACUGGGCGUUAAGGGUGCGUAGGCCGCACGGAAAGUCAGAGGUGAAAUCCCGGAGCUCAACUUCGGAAUUGCCUCCGAUACUCCCGUGCUUGAGGACUGGAGAGGAGUCUGGAAUUCACAGUGGAGCAGUGAAAUGCGUAGAUAUUGUGAGGAACACUAGUGGCGAAGGCGAGACUCUGGACAGUUCCUGACGCUGAGGCACGAAGGCCAGGGGAGCAAACGGG